CUAACGUCUAACGUCUAACGUCUAACAUCGUUCACCACUGGGAGCUGUGGAUAUAGUGCCGAGAAAAUACAAUCACAUCUUGAAAGUUGGAAAUAAUAGAAAUUGAAAGCAUGAUCCCAAAUCUUUAUUUCAAAGCACCCAUCAGUGAGAGAAAGAAAGUAAAUUGGAAUAUGAAGACCUCUUUGAUCUUCCUUUGGAGGUAAAAUUAUAGGAAUCAAAAGAUUCAGAAGUGUCAAGCUGAAACUUGUCAAGAAAGGCUUCAGGAGAAAUAAAUGUUUCUUCUGUUUCAAGACAUACGUGAAGAAAAAUCAUAAAGGAAACCUGCGAAUGAAACCAGUGCUCCUACCACCGUGCUACGGGGUUUCUUUUUCAACUCUUCUUAAAUUCUUUGUGAUCAACAUAAAAAGCCUUUGGACUCAGAUUGGACCCAUGCCGUCAAUUCUUCUGGAUCUCCAGCUUGGUGACUGCAGAUGUUGGGAGUUCUCAGCCUCCAUAACGGCAUGACGCAAUUUCUUGCCUCAGUGUGGGGAUCACCUCCACAGGGAAGACUCCUCUGACCCACUAUCCUCCCUCCUGAGGUUAGGUAAGUUCCCCAACAAGAAGGAUUGUAUCUUUGUCACUGGCUUAA